ensembl:snoRNA
CCAGCACUUUCACAGGUCCUCCCUUAGUCAGUGGAGCCAGGAUUUGGUAGCUGGAACUAACAGAAAACCCUUGAUUAUAACUUUGCCCUGAUACUGUACCAGUGGCAGCUGUCUCUCAGGGGAACAGAU